rnacentral:rRNA from 1 species
UUGACCUCAAAUCGAGUAGGACUACCCGCUGAACUUAAGCAUAUCAAUAAGCGGAGGAAAAGAAACUAACAAGGAUUCCCCUAGUAACGGCGAGUGAAGAGGGAAGAGCUCAAAUUUUGAAUCUGGCGUCUUUGGCGUCCGAAUUGUAAUCUAGAGAAGUGUUUUCCGUGACGGACCGUGCACAAGUCUCCUGGAAUGGAGCGUCAUAGAGGGUGAGAAUCCCGUAUAUGGCAUGGACUGCCGUUGCUCUGUGAUACACUCUCGACGAGUCGAGUUGUUUGGGAAUGCAGCUCUAAAUGGGUGGUAAAUGCCAUCUAAAGCUAAAUAUUGGCGAGAGACCGAUAGCGAACAAGUACCGUGAGGGAAAGAUGAAAAGCACUUUGGAAAGAGA